AUUGAACGCUGGCGGCAGGCCUAACACAUGCAAGUCGAACGAGUGGCGGACGGGUGAGUAAUGUCUGGGCAACUGCCUGAUGGAGGGGGAUAACUACUGGAAACGGUAGCUACUACCGCAUACCAUCAGAUGUGCCCAGAUGGGAUUAGCUAGUUGGUGGGGUAACGGCUCACCAAGGCGACGAUCCCUAGCUGGUCUGAGAGGAUGACCAGCAACAAUGGAACUGGGAAAGGGUCCAGACUGCUAAGGGAGGCAGCAGUGGGGAAUAUUGGACAAGGGGCGCAAGGCUGAUGCAGCCAUGCCGCGUGGAUGAAGAAGGCCUUCGGGUUGUAAAGUACUGUAAGCGGGGAGGCGUUACCCGCAGAAGAAGCACCGGCUAACUCCGUGCCAGCAGCCGCGGUAAUAC
rnacentral:rRNA from 1 species